rnacentral:rRNA from 1 species
GUGGGGAAUCUUGCGCAAUGGGCGAAAGCCUGACGCAGCCAUGCCGCGUGAAUGAUGAAGGUCUUAGGAUUGUAAAAUUCUUUCACCGGGGACGAUAAUGACGGUACCCGGAGAAGAAGCUCCGGCUAACUUCGUGCCAGCAGCCGCGGUAAUACGAAGGGGGCUAGCGUUGCUCGGAAUUACUGGGCGUAAAGGGCGCGUAGGCGGACAGCUUAGUCAGAGGUGAAAGCACAGGGCUCAACCUUGGAAUUGCCUUUGAUACUGGCUGUCUUGAGUUUGGGAGAGGGGAGUGGAACUCCGAGUGUAGAGGUGAAAUUCGUAGAUAUUCGGAAGAACACCAGUGGCGAAGGCGACUCACUGGCCCAAUACUGACGCUGAGGCGCGAAAGCGUGGGGAGCAAACAGGAUUAGAAACCCGGGUAGUCC